rfam:Oryza sativa (indica cultivar-group) chromosome 4, whole genome shotgun sequence.
AAAGAGGUAAACCAUGGGUUUCCGUGUCCAACUUUGACUGUCCGUCUUAUAUGAAAUUUUUUUAUAAUUCGUAUUUUCAUUGUUGUUAGAUGAUAAAACAUGAUUAAUAUUUUAUGCGUGACUUGUCUUUUUAAUUUUUUUCAUAAUUUUUUCAAAUAAGACAGACGGUCAAACAUUGGACACGGAAACCAGGGUUUGUCUUUUU